CGUACGGGCCGCAAGGCCAGUGGCGCAAGGGUGAGUAAGGCGACGGUAACCAACCCCGCGAUUGGGUAUAGCCGCGGGAAACCGCGGGUAAUCCCCAGCGACGUCCGGAGGGGGCAUCCCCCCCGGACCAAAGCCCCGGCGUCGCGGGACGGGCUGUCGUGGUAUUAGCUGGUUGGCGGGGUAACGGCCCACCAAGGCUCUGAUGCCUACCGGGCGUGCGAGCGUGGCCCGGCACACUGGGACUGAGACACUGCCCAG
rnacentral:rRNA from 1 species